rnacentral:rRNA from 1 species
UACGUAGGGGUCGAGCGUUGUCCGGAGUUAUUGGGCGUAAAGAGCUCGUAGGCGGUUUGUCGCGUCUGCUGUGAAAACCCGAGGCUCAACCUCGGGCCUGCAGUGGGUACGGGCAGACUAGAGUGCGGUAGGGGAGAUUGGAAUUCCUGGUGUAGCGGUGGAAUGCGCAGAUAUCAGGAGGAACACCGAUGGCGAAGGCAGAUCUCUGGGCCGUAACUGACGCUGAGGAGCGAAAGCAUGGGUAGCGAACAGG